GAUGAACGCUGGCGGCGUGCCUAAUACAUGCAAGUCGAGCGAACAGAUAAGGAGCUUGCUCCUUUGACGUUAGCGGCGGACGGGUGAGUAACACGUGGGUAACCUACCUAUAAGACUGGGAUAACUUCGGGAAACCGGAGCUAAUACCGGAUAACAUUUGGAACCGCAUGGUUCUAAAGUGAAAGAUGGUUUUGCUAUCACUUAUAGAUGGACCCGCGCCGUAUUAGCUAGUUGGUAAGGUAACGGCUUACCAAGGCGACGAUACGUAGCCGACCUGAGAGGGUGAUCGGCCACACUGGAACUGAGACACGGUCCAGACUCCUACGGGAGGCAGCAGUAGGGAAUCUUCCGCAAUAGGCGAAAGCCUGACGGAGCAACGCCGCGUGAUUGAUGAAGGGUUUCGGCUCGUAAAACUCUGCUAUUAGGGAAGAACAAAUGUGUAAGUAACUGUGCACGUCUUGACGGUACCUAAUCAGAAAGCCACGGCUAACUACGUG
rnacentral:rRNA from 1 species